GAUGAACGCUAGCGACAGGCUUAACACAUGCAAGUCGAGGGGCAGCACGGUGUAGCGAUACACUGGUGGCGACCGGCGCACGGGUGAGUAACACGUGUGCAACCAACCCCGUACCGGGAGAUAACCCGCGGAAACGUGGACUAACAUCCCAUGAUACUCGAGAGCCGCAUGGCUCUAGAUUUAAAAUUCCGGUGGUACGGGACGGGCACGCGCGACAUUAGGUAGUUGGCGGGGUAAGGGCCCACCAAGCCGACGAUGUCUAGGGGUUCUGAGAGGAAGGUCCCCCACACUGGAACUGAGACACGGUCCAG
rnacentral:rRNA from 1 species